GAGGGUACAGCUCAGUGGUAGAGAACACGCCUACCAUGCAUGAGGUCCUGGGUUCAACCCCCAGUACCUCCA
rnacentral:tRNA from 1 species